AGGACGAACGCUGGCGGCGUGCUUAACACAUGCAAGUCGAGCGGAAAGGCCCUUCGGGGUACUCGAGCGGCGAACGGGUGAGUAACACGUGAGUAAUCUGCCCCUAGCUCUGGGAUAGCUCCGGGAAACCGGGAUUAAUACCAGAUACGACCACUUUAGACAUCUUCUGUGGUGGAAAGAACUUCGGCUAGGGAUGAACUCGCGGCCUAUCAGCUUGUUGGUGAGGUAACGGCUCACCAAGGCGACGACGGGUAGCCGGCCUGAGAGGGCGACCGGCCACACUGGGACUGAGACACGGCCCAGACUCCUACGGGAGGCAGCAGUGGGGAAUAUUGCGCAAUGGGCGAAAGCCUGACGCAGCGACGCCGCGUGGGGGAUGAAGGCCUUCGGGUUGUAACCCUUUCAGCAGGACGAAGCGAAAGUGACGGUACCUGCAGAAGAAGCGCCGGCUAACUACGCGCCAGCAGCCGC
rnacentral:rRNA from 1 species